AACGAACGCUGGCGGCAGGCCUAACACAUGCAAGUCGAGCGCGCCCUUCGGGGUGAGCGGCGGACGGGUGAGUAACGCGUGGGAACGUGCCCUUUUCUACGGAAUAGCCUCGGGAAACUGACAGUAAUACCGUAUACGCCCUUUGGGGGAAAGAUUUAUCGGAAAAGGAUCGGCCCGCGUUGGAUUAGGUAGUUGGUGGGGUAAUGGCCUACCAAGCCGACGAUCCAUAGCUGGUUUGAGAGGAUGAUCAGCCACACUGGGACUGAGACACGGCCCAGACUCCUACGGGAGGCAGCAGUGGGGAAUCUUAGACAAUGGGGGCAACCCUGAUCGAGCCAUGCCGCGUGAGUGAUGAAGGCCUUAGGGUUGUAAAGCUCUUUCAGCUGGGAAGAUAAUGACGGUACCAGCAGAAGAAGCCCCGGCUAACUCCGUG
rnacentral:rRNA from 1 species